CAUAUGCUUGUCUCAAAGAUUAAGCCAUGCAUGUCUAAGUAUAAGCAAUUAUACCGUGAAACUGCGAAUGGCUCAUUAAAUCAGUUAUCGUUUAUUUGAUAGUACCUUACUACUUGGAUAACCGUGGUAAUUCUAGAGCUAAUACAUGCUAAAAACCCCAACUUCGGGAGGGGUGUAUUUAUUAGAUAAAAAACCAAUGCCCUUCGGGGCUCCUUGGUGAUUCAUGAUAACUUCUCAGAUCGCAUGGCUUUACGCCGGCGACGGUUCAUUCAAAUUUCUGCCCUAUCAACUUUCGAUGGUAAGGUAGUGGCUUACCAUGGUUUCAACGGGUAACGGGGAAUUAGGGUUCGAUUCCGGAGAGGGAGCCUGAGAAACGGCUACCACAUCCAAGGAAGGCAGCAGGCGCGCAAAUUACCCAAUUCCGAUACGGAGAGGUAGUGACAAUAAAUACUGAUACAGGGCUCUUUUGGGUCUUGUAAUUGGAAUGAGUACAAUUUAAACCUCUUAACGAGGAACAAUUGGAGGGCAAGUCUGGUGCCAGCAGCCGCGGUAAUUCCAGCUCCAAUAGCGUAUAUUAAAGUUGUUGCAGUUAAAAAGCUCGUAGUUGAACCUUUGGCCUGGCUGGCAGGUCCGCCUCACCGCGUGCACUUGUCCGGCCGGGCCUUUUCUUCUGGAGAACCGCAUGCCCUUCACUGGGUGUGUUGGGGACCAGGACUUUUACUUUGAAAAAAUUAGAGUGUUCAAAGCAGGCCUUUGCUCGAAUACGUUAGCAUGGAAUAAUAGAAUAGGACGUGCGGUCCUAUUUUGUUGGUUUCUAGGACCGCCGUAAUGAUUAAUAGGGACAGUCGGGGGCAUCAGUAUUCAAUUGUCAGAAGUGAAAUUCUUGGAUUUAUUGAAGACUACUACUGCGAAAGCAUUUGC
rnacentral:rRNA from 1 species